ensembl:lncRNA
CAAUAAUAAAACCAGUGCUGAAUUGGUGAAUUGCGGAAUGAACAGUGCGGGCGAAGGGGUGAGUUUUGGAUCAAAUCCGAGCCGUCCAGCCUCCGUCAAGUCCAGCCUCCGUCAAGUCCAGCCUCCGUCAAGGAAUUCUGCCAAGAGCCGUUAACAGACAAGUCCAGUUGCAGUAGCAACGACUACACCACAUUUCAAAUAUAUCAAGAAAUAAUCGUAUUCAAGUGCCCAGCGAUUACAAACGCAUGUUUUAUUGAAAAACAUUUUUGCUUUGUUGGAUUGGAAAGUGGUGAAAGAUGGAGAGAGUUGAUGCUAAAAUCGCGACGUAUUCAAAUCCACACAGGUGCACCUUGGGCAGUGUCCCAUUAGGAAUCUGGCCCGUCCUGGGACACACAAACGCACAAUUUAAAAAGUGUUAUUUACGAAUCCAGUAUUAAUGUAUUACAGUUGUGUGGCCUCGGGUGGCCCCAGGGGUCUAAAGUGCUGCUAACCGUGCAUUUGUGCUGUUGUAGAAAGGGGCUGAAAGGCUCCACCAGCAAAAUCUUUAACCCCAAUCUUUACCAGUUGUCUCAACCAAACAAAGCAUCUAAUAAAAAAUGAUAUCACACAUGUAUCAAGUGAAACAAAUUAAGAACAACGGCAAAGUCGAAAAUAAUAAACAUCCAGGUUGCCUAGUGGAAGUGAGGGGGAAGUGAGUGAUAUAGAUAUUUACUCUCAAAGUCCUUAACGACCGAGCUGAGUAUUAAAGGGCAAUAGUCAUUUAGUUCAGUUCCCUUAGCAACAUGUGUAUAUGAACAAUGAUGGACUUAUUGAGGCGUGUGGGACAAAAUAUGAGGAAAGAGAUUGUUUCUAAAUAGUCCCACCAGUUGGCACAGGCUUGUCAAGUCAGGUAUAUGUUUCCUGAUGUGUAUUGAAUCAGCCCCUGCUGGGUUUACUUUACUCAGAAACAUUGCAAAGAAAGCACACAAAUAUUUAGCUAAAUGUAAUACAACCCAGUGUCCAAAGCCUGUGUACGUAGGUCUUGCAUUGGUUUUACCUAUGAAAAUAGUUGGUUUAUUGAAAAUAUUAUUUAUAUGAAUAAAAACAAAGCAUACUUCUUUUGUGAAAUAAAGUGUUCCUUGGUUUAAUGUUCCUUGGGUCCUCCUCCUCUUCCUCCUAUGGACACCGAGGGAGGGCUGGUGUUUUUGGUCCGUGCCAUCCUGGACUAGCGUGGUCGGUUGGGGGGUCUCCAGUACCUCGCGGAUUGGGAGGGGUACGGUCUAGAGGAGCGGUGCUGGGUUCCGGCGAGGGACGACAUCGAUCCCUCCUAGCUCUGAGAUUUCCACCGUCGGCGUCUGGAGAGCCCUGCGCCACGCCCUGUCGUCCAUGGUGGCGGUCGACGUCACCGGCCUUCUAGCUGCCACCGUCCCUGAUCUCAUUCAUUAUCCAUUCCUGGUCUGGGUUUUGCUUUGUCCCCAUCUACACACCUAGUUACCAUUAGUCGUUAUAUGUGUGUAUAUAGUUUCCUUUGAGUCCCCUCUCAUUGUUCGUUGUUGUUCCCUGUUUUGUGUUUGCCAUUUUACUGUCUGCUGUGUUACUCUUUAUUGAGUUGUCCUGAGUUGGAUUAUUGCUGUAUUCAGUUUACUCUUGAUGGGACUCAUGCCUAAGUGCCCUUUUCUGUACAAUAAAUCAUGGAAUUGAG